GUCUAUCUAGUUCAAUCUGUAGAGCCUGAGACUCUUAAUUUAAAAGUUGCGGGUUGAACCCCCGCGUUGGGCU
rnacentral:tRNA from 1 species